rnacentral:misc_RNA from 1 species
AAGUCGUAACAAGGUAUCUGUAGGUGAACCUGCAGAUGGAUCAUUUCGAUGAAAACCUUUUUUUCUUGAGGUGUGGCUCGCACCUGUCUAACUAAACUUGAGCUACCUUUUUUCAACACGGUUGCAUCGGUUGGCCUGUCAAACAGUGCGGCGGGCAAGAAUUAAUUUUCCUGUCUGCCAAGCUAGGCGACGGACCGACACUUAAUCAACACUUUUGAUGAUCUAGGAUUUGAACGUAUAAAAGUUACUUUUUUAAUAACUAAAAAACAACUUUUGGCAACGGAUCUCUUGGUUCUCC